rnacentral:tRNA from 1 species
GGGGCUGUAACUCAGUGGUAGAAUGCUUGCUUAGCAUGCAUGAGGCAAUGGGUUCUAUCCUCAGCACCA